rnacentral:misc_RNA from 1 species
AAGUCGUAACAAGGUUUCCGUAGGUGAACCUGCGGAAGGAUCAUUAACACGUAUCCACGUAUCUACCUUCUAUGAACUUAUUUAUGUUUGUAGUUAUCUCAGGUAUGUCUAAGGAAGUAGAUGACCAUGUCGUGAAGGGGGAUAAAAAAUGUUUCUCAUCACGUUCUACUUGCCUAGCCACCUUUGCUGAGUGCUAGUGUAUUGAGGUUAUUCCAUAUUUUAUAUGAGUUUAGCCCUACUAGCAAAAAAAAUUAACUCCUUAGGAUGGGUAUCUGAGAGAACUCGAAUCAUGGUGGUUAUUAACCUAUUAACCCCUUUUUCUUUAUUUUUUAUUGUCUUAGUGAGUGGCUCAUCCCUGAUCAUUCGUGGUUUAGGGUUUGAUCCCUCCCCUAAAAAAUAACUACUAUACAACUCUUAGCAACGGAUAUCUCGGUUCUCC